rnacentral:rRNA from 1 species
UACGUAGGGUGCAAGCGUUUAAUCGGAAUUACUGGGCGUAAAGCGUGCGCAGGCGGUGAUGUAAGACAGUUGUGAAAUCCCCGGGCUCAACCUGGGAACUGCAUCUGUGACUGCAUCGCUGGAGUGCGGCAGAGGGGGAUGGAAUUCCGCGUGUAGCAGUGAAAUGCGUAGAUAUGCGGAGGAACACCGAUGGCGAAGGCAAUCCCCUGGGCCUGCACUGACGCUCAUGCACGAAAGCGUGGGGAGCGAAACAAGG